rnacentral:lncRNA from 1 species
AGAAAAAUUGAUAUUGUAUUAUUUAGAAAAUCAAAUAAGAACAAACUUGAUUCAAAUUUUCACCAACUAUGACAGUGAGGAGUUUAGUACUAUAACAUUUGGAUUCGAUAAUACAGAAUGACAUAAUGUUCCCCGACAGUGUAAAGUUGAAGGUAAAGAGGAGGAGGAAGAAGAACAAGAGCAACUAACCAAGAGAGAGAGAGCCAAAUGAAAACGUGAGAAGAAAG